GUCUGCAUUUAUUUUUAUUCUGCUGAUCUCUGUCUAUCAGUAGUGUUUAUCUAGACUGAACCAACGGGAUCAGUAUUAGCAGAGACAUUAUGCUAAAAAGGUAAAACAGUAAUAAUCACUUUUUAUUUUAUUGUUAUUUUAUUUAUUUUGUAUUUUUACUGGUUGAAGUCAGACUGUAGAUUUUCCUUCUUCUAGCUGUACUGACUGACCUUUGACCUCAUGUGUUGAUGACUCUUCACCUCUGUCUCCUCUCACAGGGAGAAGAUGAUCUGCAGGAUCCUGCUGCUCAUCAUCCUCACCUCAUGUGUCUCUGGAUCAUUUGUAGUCAAUGUGACACAGACCUGCUAUCAGGCAGAGGAGAACCACAACAUCACACUGGAGUGGACGUUCACCACCAAACCUGACAGAUCCUCCAAAACUCUCAACAUCCUCUGUGAACUCUUUAUCAGUGAUAACAUCUCAGUCGUGUAUCAUGUUCAUGAAGGUGUUGAGGUGUCAGAGUCUCAGGAUCCAAAGUUUUCAGGACGAGUCCAGAGUGACAAAGACGCCCUCAGAGAAGGACGAAUCAGACUUCAACUGUCCAGACUGAGGACUGAUGACUCGGGUCUGUACCUGUGUGAGGUCAACACUGAUUAUGGCUUCAGUGUUGGAAGAUGUCGACUCAACGUCACUGGUCCAGCUGGGCUCGUCAAGCCAAAACAUAAUAUUUGGUCUGCAGCUGAAGGAGCAAAUGGCACGCUUAACUGCAACUUAUCUUUGUCUGGAAGCACAAAGUUCUUCUGUAAGGAAAAAUGUGAGCGAGCAGAAGAUAUCCUCAUUAAAACAGAUGAAAGCACAGCUCAGAGUGGGAGAUACAGCAUGAAGUAUAAAGAUGGAUCUCCAAGAAGAGGAAUUGUGUUUUUAAGCUUCUCACAAAUGAUCAAGUCUGACGCAGGAAUGUACAGGUGUGGUUUGGGAAAAUCUUCUGCUCCAGAUUCAUACUUUGACUUUGAGGUCAGAGUUUCAAAUGAUCUGGAUAGAAACGUUGGUUUUUAUCGCACACAAACUGAGGGAGAAAACAUCACAUUGGGAUGUUCCAAUACAGUGACUGGACACAGGAAGUUCUUUUGUAAGAAUCAGUGUAAGAAUGAAGGGGAGAUCCUCAUUGACACAACUAAUAACAAAUCUGUGAGUGGCAGAUACAGCAUUGAACACAGACCAGGAUCUGUGUACGGACUGUAUGCAACCAUCACACAGUCGUCCAAGUCAGACACAGGAAAGUACAUCUGUGGUUAUGGAAACCCUCUGUCUCCUGAUUCAUAUGCGAAUGAAUAUUUUCUUGUCAUUGAUGCUUAAAUUGAGGGGAAAACAUCUGUAUCAUCAUCAUCUUUCACUAAAGCUGAGUGUUUCUACUCAUACAGAUUCAAACCCACCUACUUCCACACCACAAACAACAACACAAAUGGCUUCCAACCCACCUGCUUCCACUCUACAGACAGCAACAACACAGAGUGAAAGUGUCACUGCAGGAGUCUCUACACAUUGUCCUGACUCCUCCUGGCUUCUGGUUGUGCGUGCGUCCUUGGAUGGUGUUUUGCUGAUGGCUGUUUUCCUCAUGCUCUUCUACAUUAGUAAGACAAGGAGGAACUUUGGACUGAAGAGCAGAGAAAAUGACACAAACAUGGAGGUGAGUUUGUGUC